GUUUUAAAUUAAUUGUACAGCAUCUUGUAACUCUGAGAUUUUGAUGAUGUCCCUGUUUAUUUUUAGAAUGACUUCGUAGGGUAGGUGUGAGAGGUCAGAGCUGGCUGGUUUGAGCAUAUAACAGGAAAACAAUUUUGGCCUUGCAUGGCCGGUUUAAACACUAAAGGGUUAAAAAGGAUGGUUGCGAAUGAGGUGCCAUGUGCCUCCA